GUGCCAGCCGCCGCGGUAAGACAGAGGGUGCAAACGUUGCUCGGAAUUACUGGGCGUAAAGGGCGUGUAGGCGGAUAGGUAAGUCGGGCGUGAAAUCCCUGGGCUCAACCCAGGAACUGCACUCGAAACUACUUGUCUUGAGUGCCGGAGAGGAAAGCGGAAUUCCUGGUGUAGAGGUGAAAUUCGUAGAUAUCAGGAGGAACACCAGUGGCGAAGGCGGCUUUCUGGACGGUGACUGACGCUGAGACGCGAAAGCGUGGGGAGCAAAAGGGAUUAGAUACCCCCGUAGUCC
rnacentral:rRNA from 1 species